rnacentral:rRNA from 1 species
AGAGUUUGAUCCUGGCUUAGGAUGAACGCUAGCGACAGGCUUAACACAUGCAAGUCGAGGGGCAGCAUAAAAGUAGCAAUACUUGGUGGCGACCGGCGCACGGGUGAGUAACGCGUAUGCAACCUACCUAUCAGAGGGGAAUAACCCGGCGAAAGUCGGACUAAUACCGCAUAAAACAGGGGCACCGCAUGGUGAUAUUUGUUAAAGAAAUUCGCUGAUAGAUGGGCAUGCGUUCCAUUAGGUAGUUGGUGAGGUAACGGCUCACCAAGCCGACGAUGGAUAGGGGAACUGAGAGGUUGGUCCCCCACACUGGUACUGAGACACGGACCAGACUCCUACGGGAGGCAGCAGUGAGGAAUAUUGGUCAAUGGGCGAGAGCCUGAACCAGCCAAGUCGCGUGAAGGAAGAAGGAUCUAUGGUUCGUAAACUUCUUUUGCAGGGGAAUAAAGUGCAGGACGUGUCCUGUUUUGUAUGUACCCUGAGAAUAAGGAUCGGCUAACUCCGUGCCAGCCGCCGC